rnacentral:rRNA from 1 species
ACGGAAGGCAGCAGUGGGGGAUAUUGGACAAUGGGGGAAACCCUGAUCUAGCGACGCCGCGUGAGUGAAGAAGUAUUUCGGUAUGUAAAGCUCUAUCAGCAAGGAAGAAAAUGACGGUACUUGACUAAGAAGCUCCGGCUAAAUACGUGCCAGCAGCCGCGGUAAUACGUAUGGAGCAAGCGUUAUCCGGAUUUACUGGGUGUAAAGGGAGCGUAGACGGCAAAGCAAGUCUGAAGUGAAAUCCCGGGGCUCAACCCCGGAACUGCUUUGGAAACUGUUUAGCUAGAGUACAGGAGAGGUAAGCGGAAUUCCUAGUGUAGCGGUGAAAUGCGUAGAUAUUAGGAGGAACACCAGUGGCGAAGGCGGCUUACUGGACUGUAACUGACGUUGAGGCUCGAAAGCGUGGGGAGCAAACAGGAUUAGAUACCCUGGUA